rnacentral:rRNA from 1 species
AUUGAACGCUGGCGGCAUGCCUUACACAUGCAAGUCGAACGGCAGCGCGGGAGCAAUCCUGGCGGCGAGUGGCGAACGGGUGAGUAAUAUAUCGGAACGUGCCCUGUAGCGGGGGAUAACCUAUCGAAAGAUGGACUAAUACCGCAUACGCUCUACGGAGGAAAGCGGGGGUCGCAAGACCUCGCACUAUAGGAGCGGCCGAUAUCGGAUUAGCUAGNGGCGGGGUAAAGCCCACCAAGGCGACGAUCCGUAGCUGGUCUGAGAGGAUGAUCAGCCACACUGGAACUGAGACACGGUCCAGACUCCUACGGGAGGCAGCAGUGGGGAAUUUUGGACAAUGGGCGCAAGCCUGAUCCAGCCAUGCCGCGUG